rnacentral:tRNA from 1 species
UUAUAAGAGUGAACUCUGAUUUUACAGUGAAGAUGUAAAGUUUUUAUUAAACUAUAUAAACUAGAAAU